rnacentral:lncRNA from 1 species
ACCUUAUACUCCAUCCUGCAUGAACUUUGUGUGGCACUUGUUAUGGACACUGUCAUAAGGCAAGUGCAGACACUUCGUCAUGGAAGGUGGAAAGAUGCUAUUCGUUUUGAGCUCAUGUCUGAUGGUAGUACUGGACAGGGUGGCAGUUCUAGCUCCGCACAAAUGUCACAAGAUGGGGAGUCUGAUUCUGCUAGUUUGCGUACUCCUGGGCUGAAGAUUUUGUAUUGGUUGGAUUUGGAUAAAAACUCCAGCACAUCCGAAAUUGGAACAUCCCCAUUUAUAAAAAUUGAACCUGGACUGGAUCUGCGAAUUAAGUGUCUUCAUAGCACGUUUGUCAUUGAUCCUCUGACAGGAAAAGAAGCAGAAUUUUCCCUUGACCAGAGUUGUAUUGACGUUGAGAAGUUGCUGCUUAGGGUUAUAUGCUGUAAUCGCUAUACUCGGUUGCUAGAGAUUUAUAAAGAACUCGAGAAAAAUGGUCAGAUCUGUAGAGUUCCUGACGAUGUUCAGCUUCAGUGCCAUGUAGAAGAAAUACUUUCUGAUUCUCGGAAGGUUAUUUGUUUUAGAUAGCGAUGUUCAGCUUCUGUGCCAUGUAGAAGAAAUGCUUGCUGAUUCUCUGAAGGUUAGUUAUUUUAAAUAUAUAUCUUGGAAAUUUUGAGAACUCAUGCAAGUCAUAAGUUCCAUGUUGGUUAUUAUGCAUGGUUAGAGAAACUAUCUAUGUCAUGUUGUUUAAAGAUCUAUUCCUCUUGACCACUAAGCUAAAAAGAAAUUGCUGUACUGGUUAGCGAGGGUGGAACAGUUCAAGUCAAUCUCUAGUUGUUUUUAUCAUUAUGUUGUCUGUUUUCUGCAGUAGAAGUCUGAUGAAUAGAGUUGUGAUAACCGAUGGACUCUUUUUUUGAUGAAGGUGAUAACCGAUGGACUCUUGAUAAUAAAGAAUUUAAGGAUGUUAGAGAGUUAGUGAUACAAGGGCAUUCAGGGAAGAAAAAGUUAAGAAUCCCAGUUAGAAUUUCCUGGCAGUUGCAUAAGAAAGAACUUGCCAGUUGUCUAGAUGUGCUUAGAAAAUUUAGAUAGAGUUCUG